GACGCAGCAUGCCGCGUGAUGAGAAGGCCUUCGGGUUGUAAAGUUCUUUCGGUAUUGAGGAAGGGAUGUGUGCUAAUAGUACAUAUCAUUGACGUUAAAUACAGAAGAAGCACCGGCUAACUCCGUGCCAGCAGCCGCGGUAAUACGGAGGGUGCGAGCGUUAAUCGGAAUAACUGGGCGUAAAGGGCACGCAGGCGGUUAUUUAAGUGAGGUGUGAAAGCCCCGGGCUUAACCUGGGAAUUGCAUUUCAGACUGGGUAACUAGAGUACUUUAGGGAGGGGUAGAAUUCCACGUGUAGCGGUGAAAUGCGUAGAGAUGUGGAGGAAUACCGAAGGCGAAGGCAGCCCCUUGGGAAUGUACUGACGCUCAUGUGCGAAAGCGUGGGGAGCAAACA
rnacentral:rRNA from 1 species